UACGGGGGGAGCAAGCGUUGUUCGGAUUUACUGGGCGUAAAGGGCGCAUAGGCGGUCGUGACAAGUCACUUGUGAAAUCUCCGGGCUUAACUCGGAAAGGUCAACUGAUACUGUGCGACUAGAGUGCAGAAGGGGCAACUGGAAUUCUCGGUGUAGCGGUGAAAUGCGUAGAUAUCGAGAGGAACACCUGCGGCGAAGGCGGGUUGCUGGGCUGACACUGACGCUGAUGCGCGAAAGCCAGGGGAGCGAACGGG
rnacentral:rRNA from 1 species